rnacentral:lncRNA from 1 species
UUUGAACAUGUGUUAGCUUAGGAGAAGCAUGAAUAAAUGAUUAAAUUGCCUUACUUAUUUAACUGCCUUACCUAAAUUAUGUGCAGCAUGCUAAGAUAGACUAUUUUAUUGCCGUACUAUGAAGUUUGUCAUUUCUGAUCAUUCCUCCUGUUACUGCUGUGUGUUUUCUUUGGGACUACGGGUUAGAUUCCCAGUAGAUUCCCCCACAUAUUUACGUUGGGACUACAGGUUAGAUUCCUGGUAGAUUACCCCUGAAGAAUAAUAUGGCACUACAGGAAUGCACCUGGUAGAUUCUCCUAGUACUGGAUAUUUAUGUUUGGAAUUAUGAAAUCGGAAUUCGGUAGAUCCCCUUGUACUAUGAGUUGAGC